AAAUGAAUUGACGGGGGCCCGCACAAGCAGUGGAGUAUGUGGUUUAAUUCGAAGCAACGCGAAGAACCUUACCAGGGCUUGACAUCCCUCGAAGUUGGUAGAGAUAUCAACGUCCUUCGGGACGAGGAGACAGGUGGUGCAUGGUUGUCGUCAGCUCGUGUCGUGAGAUGUUGGGUUAAGUCCCGCAACGAGCGCAACCCCUGUUGUUAGUUGCCAGCAUGUAAAGAUGGGCACUCUAGCAAGACUGCCGGUGACAAAUCGGAGGAAGGUGGGGACGACGUCAAAUCAUCAUGCCCCUUAUGUCCUGGGCUACACACGUACUACAAUGGCUACUACAACGGGAAGCUAAGCCGCGAGGUGGAGCAAAUCCCACAAAGGUAGCCCCAGUUCGGAUUGUAGGCUGAAACUCGCCUACAUGAAGUCGGAAUUGCUAGUAAUGGCAGGUCAGCAUACUGCCGUGAAUACGUUCCCGGGCCUUGUACACACCGCCCGU
rnacentral:rRNA from 1 species